CCGGGUUGGCGGAAUUGGUAGACGCGGCGCACUCAAAAUGCGUUGUCUUCGGACGUACGGGUUCGAGUCCCGUACCCGGUACACCA
rnacentral:tRNA from 1 species